GUGAAAAGGAGCAAGGUGGAUCAGAUGGUGGACAGUCUAUGACCAGAUGAACUCCUUUUCCGAGUACUAGAAUUACAGUUUGGUUUCAUUGCUAUUCGAUGAUAAGAACUGACCUACCUAGCUCCUGGCUCAAUGGACACCACCCACACCUAAGAAGUAUCAGGUGGAGUAGGCCCUGGGGACCUGUGUGUAACUUAUGUUUCAGAUUUCAAUCUGUGACACUGAGCCUGUGGACCCACGAACAACUUCAACACCUUUGGUCCGCUCUCAUAUUACAAUAUAGGUGUUGCGGCCUUUCUUACCUUUCUUGCCUGCAUCAGGUUCUUUCCUUUCUUUCUUUUUAAUUGUUUAAACUUUAGUCUUCUCUCAUAUAGUGCGUCCUGGCUGCAAUUUCCCCACCCCAUAGUCUCUCCUUCACCUCCUUCUUCUCCCUGAAUUCACCUCCCCCCUCCCCCCCUUCAGAAAAGAGCAAGAUUUCUAGGGCAUCAACCAAAUACAGCAUAACAAACUACAAUAAGACCAGGCACAUAUUCUCACAUCAGAGAUGGAGGAAGCAACCCAGUAGGAGGAAAAGGGUCCUGAAGGCAGAAACAGGAGUCAGAGAUACCCCAUUCCUACUGUUAGAAAUUCUAUUAAGAACACAAAGCUAUACAACCUUAACAUUUAUGCAGAGGACUUAUGUCAGACCCAUAUAGGAUUCCUGAUUUUGUGAGCCCACUUGAGUCCUGGAAGUUGAUUCUAUGGGCCUUGUUCUUGUAGUGUCUUUGAUCCCUCUGGUUCCUACAAACCUUCUUCCCUCUCUUCCACAGGACUCCCCAAACUCUGCCUCAUAUUUAGCUGUGAGACUCUGUAUUUGCUCCCAUCAGUUGUUGGAUAAAGUCUCUCUGGACAAUGUGAUGAUGACUUUGUUAGGCUCCAGUUCCAGA
rnacentral:lncRNA from 1 species